AUGUCGACGAAGCAAUACAUAAGCAUCCUCCUGCUAACAAGCAUCUGGAGCGAAAGCAUGAAGCACAAGCUUCUCAAGGAAAAGCUGACACCUAAUAAGGAUGAGAACAACGUAGAUGCUAAGAGGCAACCUUUUGGGGUUAAGGAUAUAAACAACAACAGGGCUUAUGACGCCAAAGAGAGCUUGAGUUGCGGCUUUUGGAUCUUGAAGCACUGCACUUUCCUGGUGGAGUGGCAGCAAAAUAGUUCAGAGGCUUUAAAGCUACUGCACUUCACAUAG
rnacentral:rRNA from 1 species